GACGAACGCUGGCGGCGUGCUUAACACAUGCAAGUCGAACGGAAAGGCCCUGCUUUUGUGGGGUGCUCGAGUGGCGAACGGGUGAGUAACACGUGAGUAACCUGCCCUUGACUUUGGGAUAACUUCAGGAAACUGGGGCUAAUACCGGAUAGGAGCUCCUGCUGCAUGGUGGGGGUUGGAAAGUUUCGGCGGUUGGGGAUGGACUCGCGGCUUAUCAGCUUGUUGGUGGGGUAGUGGCUUACCAAGGCUUUGACGGGUAGCCGGCCUGAGAGGGUGACCGGCGAGAGUGGGACGGGGGGGCGGCGAAGCAUGAGAGGGGAGGGGGGGGGGGGGAGUAUGGUACGAGGGCGGGAAGCGGGGGGCAGCGGCGCCGGGGGGAGGAUGAGGGCCUGCGGGGGGUACAGCGUGUUCUCUGGGGAGGAAGGGUGAGUGAUGAUGAGGGGGAACGAGGCCACGGGUAACGGCGUGCCAGAGGGGGCGGUAAGAAUAGGAAGGGCACGCGCCGACGC
rnacentral:rRNA from 1 species